rnacentral:rRNA from 1 species
UACAGAGGUGGCAAGCGUUGUUCGGAAUUAUUGGGCGUAAAGAGCUCGUAGGCGGUUUGUCGCGUCUGCUGUGAAAACUCGGGGCUUAACCCCGGGCCUGCAGUGGGUACGGGCAGACUAGAGUGCGGUAGGGGAGACUGGAAUUCCUGGUGUAGCGGUGAAAUGCGCAGAUAUCAGGAGGAACACCGGUGGCGAAGGCGGGUCUCUGGGCAGUAACUGACGCUGAGGAGCGAAAGCGUGGGGAGCGAACAGG